UAUAUGCGAGUAUAUCGAGUACAUCGCCUAUAUCCGAAUAUAUCGAAUACAUCUGCUAUAUCCGAGUAUAUCAAUAUAUCGAGAACAUCGCCUAUAUCCGAGUAUAUCGAGUUCAUCG